UACGUAGGAGACGAGCGUUAUCCGGAUUUACUGGGCGUAAAGCGCGUGCAGGCGGUUUGGUAAGUUGGAUGUGAAAGCUCCUGGCUUAACUGGGAGAGGUCGUUCAAUACUGCCAGACUAGAGGAUGGUAGAGGGAGGUGGAAUUCUGGGUGUAGUGGUGAAAUGCGUAGAUAUCCAGAGGAACACCAGUGGCGAAAGCGGCCUCCUGGACCAUUUCUGACGCUCAGACGCGAAAGCUAGGGUAG
rnacentral:rRNA from 1 species